rnacentral:snRNA from 1 species
GGAUGUGAGGGCGAUCUGGCUGCGACAUCUGUCACCCCAUUGAUCGCCAGGGUUGAUUCGGCUGAUCUGGCUNGGAGUGUACCGAUCUUCGGUCAAGGGUAUACGAUAGCUGCGCUCCCCUGCUAGAACCUCCAAACAAGCUCAAGGUCCAUUUGUAGGAGAACGUAGGGUAGUCAAGCUUCCAAGACUCCAGACACAUCCAAGUGAGGCGCUGCAUGUGGCAGUUUGCCAUUCUUU